rnacentral:lncRNA from 1 species
GAAAGGAACUCGCCAAGUGAUGUUUGUCAUCAGGACGCCAGCAUCUGAGCCUCUCAGCCUCCGACCUCGGGACUCCACCUCUGCCUCCUCUCAUUUCCACGGUCCAACUUGGAACAGAGAGAUCUUCCCACUUUCCUCAUCUUCCAGAAUUCAAAUCUGGCCUCAGAUACUUCUUCGAUGUGCCAACCUGGGAAAAUGAUCUCUCUGCUGAAAACGAGGGAACAAAAAUGACUAACG